AUUGAACGCUGGCGGCAGGCUUAACACAUGCAAGUCGAACGAACUCUUCGGAGUUAGUGGCGGACGGGUGAGUAACACGUGGGAACGUGCCUUUAGGUUCGGAAUAACUCAGGGAAACUUGUGCUAAUACCGAAUGUGCCCUUCGGGGGAAAGAUUUAUCGCCUUUAGAGCGGCCCGCGUCUGAUUAGCUAGUUGGUGAGGUAAAGGCUCACCAAGGCGACGAUCAGUAGCUGGUCUGAGAGGAUGAUCAGCCACAUUGGGACUGAGACACGGCCCAAACUCCUACGGGAGGCAGCAGUGGGGAAUCUUGCGCAAUGGGCGAAAGCCUGACGCAGCCAUGCCGCGUGAAUGAUGAAGGUCUUAGGAUUGUAAAAUUCUUUCACCGGGGACGAUAAUGACGGUACCCGGAGAAGAAGCCCCGGCUAACUUCGUGCCAGCAGCCGCCGUAAGAC
rnacentral:rRNA from 1 species